UACGGAGGGGGCUAGCGUUGUUCGGAAUUACUGGGCGUAAAGCGCGCGUAGGCGGCUUUUGUAAGUUAGAGGUGAAAGCCCGGAGCUUAACUCCGGAACUGCCUUUAAGACUGCAUCGCUUGAAUCCGGGAGAGGUGAGUGGAAUUCCGAGUGUAGAGGUGAAAUUCGUAGAUAUUCGGAAGAACACCAGUGGCGAAGGCGGCUCACUGGACCGGUAUUGACGCUGAGGUGCGAAAGCGUGGGGAGCAAACAGG
rnacentral:rRNA from 1 species